GUUGAAGAUUUUCAGGCCGAGGGUUUAGUCCGAGCACCGGGUCUUUCGAGUUCCUCAGGCCUUGCUGGGCGAGCCCGCCAGUUGCCACUCGGUGUGCAUGCGCUUCGGGGAUUCGGUGGAAGGGACAGUCGGUGAUCUCAGAGGGAAUAGUCCCCAUUCUUUCAAUAGCCUCAUUCCCACCUCCGGUUCGUUAGCGAUGUGGGUUCU